AUGAGAUCAUGGAAAAAAUCUGACUUCACCCCACCCAAAUCUGACUUCACCCUGGUGACCAGGGUAAACAAGGUUGCUGUUUGGACUCUUGUGAAGACGGCUUGAACUGCCGCAUGGUUCCCGGCCAACCAGGACAGGUUUAUUUGUAUCUAUGCUGCUUAUUUAAGUAAUAAGACCAUCGCAGAGGGAAGGCGAAUCCCCGUAAGUUAGGCUGUUGAAAAUCCUACAGCUACAGAGAUUCAAGAUGUGUGUUCAGAAGUUGGACUUAAUGUAUUUCUUGAGAAAAAUAAAAUGUACUCUAGAGAAUGGAAUCAUGAUGUCCAAUACAGAGACAGAGUCCGGGUCCAGCUCAAACAGGAAGAUGGCGGCCUCUGCCUUGUACAGUUCCUGGCAUGUAAGUCAGUAAUGUUGUAUGCAGCAGAAAUAACACCGAAACUAAAAAGGAGGACACAAAAAACAGGAGGUGGUGACCAAAGUCUUCAACAAGGAGAGGAAAGAAAAAAAAGGAAAGGAAAGAAAAAGAAGUAACCUAGUAUCAGCAUCGAGUUUGUGGUACUGCUGUCAGAAACAUGAAUGGAAGCUUUGAAUUUGUAUGGGAGGAAAACAGAAGCUUUUUUUGUAUCAUUUAACUGAACUGUGAACCCUUGUGAAAGAUGGGAACCUCUCAUCUUUGUCGUCAAAGUUGACAGUUAAAUAAAUUUAUAUCAGAAGUUUGCAUCUCGCUUUUAUGCAGUGUAAAAGAAGUUUUUAGUCUUUCAAUGCAGUUUUUUGGAAGAAAAAAUAUUUUUAAAUGGACAAUGGACUGUACAAUAAGUUACUUGAAAUAAGUUACUUGUUUCAGAUAAAUUUCAAUUCGAUUUGAAAUAAACAUUGUGUCUACCUUUUCAGUUAAUGAAAUAAAAUUUGAAACUGAAAAAAACAGUAGGCAAACAAAAUUGGCAAACCUUUAGCUAUACUAAGAAGAAAAGAGAGAAGGCCCAAAUAAAAUUAUAGACAAAAGGAGACAUUACAACUGUUACCACAGGAAUUCAAAGGAUCAUCACAGACUAUUAUGAGCAACUAUAUGCCAAUAAGUUGGAAAAAGUAGAAGAAAUGGAUAAAAGCUCUCAGCAAACUACAUAUAGAAAGAAUAUACCUCAACACAACAAGGACCAUAUUUGACAAACCCACAGCUAAUAUAAUACCGAACAGGGAAAACUGAAAACCUUCCUUAAGAUCUAGAACAAGGAAAGGAUGUCCAGUUUCACCACUUUUAUUCAACAUAGUUCUAGAAGUCUUAGCCAGAGCAAUUAAAUAAGAGAAAGA